rnacentral:rRNA from 1 species
AUACCUACGGGGGGCAGCAGUGGGGAAUAUUAGACAAUGGGGGGAACCCUGAUCCAGCGACGCCGCGUGAGUGAAGAAGUAUUUCGGUAUGUAAAGCUCUAUCAGCAGGGAAGAAAGAAAUGACGGUACCUGACUAAGAAGCCCCGGCUAACUACGUGCCAGCAGCCGCGGUAAUACGUAGGGGGCAAGCGUUAUCCGGAUUUACUGGGUGUAAAGGGAGCGUAGACGGCAAUGCAAGUCUGGAGUGAAAGGCGGGGGCCCAACCCCCGGACUGCUCUGGAAACCGUAUAGCUG